rnacentral:lncRNA from 1 species
AAGAAGCUGCGAUACGUAAAUUAAACUGCAUUUUAAAUUAGGUGCAAAAAGAACAUGUUGCAACUUCAAUCCUCCUCCAAGAUACACGGUCCCCUCUUUUAUUGCCGUGACCUCCUUUCCAUUUGGUAAUUCUACUGACGUGGUUUAAUGUCACGUACUUCUCUUAAAGAUGAAAAUGUUCCGAUCAUAUGGUGGGAAGCUCUUGAGUCAAUAAUCCAAGACAAAAGCUUUUGUUUACUUGUCAACCUCUCAUUAGUACUGUUUGUGUGAGCUCAACAUGCCAAGCAACGUCGCCCAUUGCUCAAUUCAGCCCAAUAAGUGCUUUUCUAUCUGAAUAAAAAACAACAUAAUGCCUAUUAUUAGUUCCAAAAGCUUGAGCAGUUGUGGUUGUGUGUGCUCUAUUACACAACCAUUUCGGAUACCCAAUCAACUGAAUGCAACUAUCAGCAUCAUGUCCCUCUUUGUUGCAAUUUGAACAAAUAGUUGUUUUAUCCUUUCCAUCCCCCCCCCCCCAAAUUUCGACUGCCAGUUUGGACAGCGAAGCUCAUAGGAUGAUCUCUUUCUUCUUUCAUUCGUUUCAUAGUCCGCACUCAUUCUUGUUGUAUAAUCAUGGCAUAAACUCGAUUUAGGUUCAGCAAGGGUUCAAUGCUCAAAAUGUUGGAACAUACUGCUCCAUACCCUUCUUCAUCCAAGCCCAUCAAAAAUUGAUGAACUCUCUGUUCUUCACGCUUUCUUUCUAAUUCAAGAGUGAUGUUGCUUUUGCAUCCGAAGUAAUUACAUAUUGGUAUUUGUCAUAAUUAUUCAAUUCAUCCCAAAUUGUUUUGAGUCGACUAUAAUAAGUUACUAUGGCCUGCCCAUCUUGCUUGCAAUUUGCUAGAUCUGAUCUCACUUGCUGCACUCUUGGACCAUUCCCAACAGAGAAUCGUUGCUUAAUAUCCUCCCACAAGUCGCUUACAUUCUCCAUGUGAGAUAUGGUUGAACGAAGAGUAGGCUCAAUUGUGUGAAACACCCAAGAAACAAGCAUGGAGUUAAGAGUCCACCAAUCUUCAAGUUCAAGCGAAUCAUUUGCUGGUGUUUCACAAUUCCAUCAACGAAGCCAUAUUUCUUUUUUGCUCGUAAUGCAGUCCGCAUAGCACAUGCCCAUUUAUCAUAUUUUUCGCCUUUCAACUGAACUUGGGUAAUUAUAUUACCCAGGUUUUCAUUUUAAUUCAGUAUAUAAGGAUUCGAAGUUUUCUUGUCCAUGCCAGAACUCUCCUCUUCUUUUUUUUGUAUCAACUAUGGCCCUGAUACCAUGAGCAAAACAGAGAAACAAUGAGGCUGAAAGUUCUACCUUUCAUUAACAAUAAA